CGUUUACGUUAUGCUCGUAGGCGUCGCCCAAGGAUGAGGCCGCGACCGAUCAGGUUGUUGGUGAGGUAAUGGCUCACCAAGCCUUUUACCGGUGCGGGCCGUGAGAGCGGGAGCCCGGAGAUGGGCACUGAGACAAGGGCCCAGGCCCUACGGGGCGCAGCAGUCGCGAAAACUUUGCAAUACACGAAAGUGUGACAGGGCUAUCCCGAGUGCCAUCCGCUGAGGAAGGCUUUUACCCAGUCUAGAACGCUGGGGGAAUAAGGAGAGGGCAAGUCUGGUGUCAGCCGCCGCGGUAAUACCAGCUCUCCGAGUGGUGUGGAUGUUUAUUGGGCCUAAAGCAUCCGUAGCUGGCUGAGUUAGUCCCUUGUUAAAUCCACCGAAUUAAUCGUUGGAUUGCGGGGGAUACUGCUCGGCUAGGGGACGAGAGAGGCAGACGGUAUUUCUGGGGUAGGGGUGAAAUCCUAUAAUCCCAGGAGGACCACCAGUGGCGAAGGCUGUCUGCUAGAACGCGCCCGACGGUGAGGGAUGAAAGCUGGGGGAGCGAACCGGAUUAGAUACCCGGGUAGUCCCAGCUGUAAACGAUGCAGACUAGGUGUUUGGACGGCCACGUGCCGUUCUAGUGCCGCAGGGAAGCUGUUAAGUCUGCCGCCUGGGGAGUACGAUCGCAAGAUUGAAACUUAAAGGAAUUGGCGGGGGAGCACCACAAGGGGUGAAGCUUGCGGUUUAAUUGGAUUCAACGCCGGA
rnacentral:rRNA from 1 species